AGAUUUUGAGAAAAUUUCAAAAAAUAUGACAAUAUUGUUUUAAUGCAUAGUUGCAUCAUGAACUAAAAUAUAAUGAUAUUCAAAGUGAGACUUUGUUGUCUCCAUUUUUCAAGAAACUAGCGAUUUUAUAGUUAAUUAUUCUACUGGUUUUGAGAGUAUUAUGAAGUUUUACUAAAUGAAUUGACAAAAAAUUAUAACGAUUCUCAUAUACCAUGAAAGAGAGUUUAACAUACGUUAAUAAAAAUUUAGAAUGUGGUUAGAAAUUUUAAAACAACACUAAAGAUUAUUGGUUUCAAUAUAUAAAGCAUUUACCAAAAACUCAAUAUUUUCGUAGGGGUUAACAUAUAGAUUUUGAGAAAAUUUUAAAAAAAUAUGAAAAUAUUGUUUGAAUGUAUAGUUGCAUCAUGCAAUAACAUAUAAUGAUGUUCAAAGAGGUUUGGAGCCUUUGUUGUCCCCGUUUUUCAAGAAAAUAUCAAUUUUAUAGUUAAUUAUUCCACCGUGAGAGUAUUAUGAAGUUUUACUAAAUGAAUUGAUAAAAAAAUUAUAACGAUUCUCAUAUACCAUGAUAGAGAGUAGUUUAACAUACGUUAAUACAAAUUUAAAAUGUAGUUAGAAAUACAACACUAAAGAUUAUAGGUUUCAAUAUAUAAAGCAUUUACCAAAAUAUCAAUAUUUUCGUAGGGUUAACACAUAGAUUUUGAGAAAUUUUUUAAAAAUAUGAAAAUAUUGUUUGAAUGUAUAGUUGCAUCAUGCAAUAACUUAAAAUGAUGUUCAAAGAGGUUUGGAGCCUUUUUGUCUCCGUUUUUGAAGAAAAUAGCAAUUUUAUAGUUAAUUAUUCCACCGAUUUCAAGAGUAUUAUGAAAUUUUACUAAAUUAAUCGAUGAAAAGGUUAUAAUGAUUCUCAUUUACCAUGAAAGAUAGUUUAACAUACAUUAAUACAAAUAUAGAAUGUGGUUAGAAAUUUUAUAACAGCACUAAAAAUUUAGGCUUCAAUACAUAAAGUAUUUACCAAAAACUCAAUAUUUUCGUAAGGGUUACCACAUAGAUUUUGAGAGAAAUUCAAAAAAUAUGAAAAUAUUUUUUUAAUGCAUAGUUGCAUCCUGCACUAACAUAUAAUGAUGUUCAAAGUGGUUUGGAUCCUUUUUUCUCUAUUUUUCAAGUAAAUAGCGAUUUUAUAGUGGUUAUUCCACCGAUUUUGAGAGUAUUAUGAAGUUUUACUAAAUUAAUUGAUAAACAAAUUAUAAAGAUUCUCAUAUACCAUGAAGAGAGUUUAACAUUCAUUAAUACAAAUUUAUAAUAUGGUUAGAAAUUUUAAAACAACACAAAAGAUUAUAGGUUUCAUAUAAAGCAUUUACCAAAAACUCAACAUUUUUGUA